ACGAAUCUCAUAGCCUCUCAACUCUCCUGUAUCUAGCGGCGGCGGCGGCCGCCUCCCCCACCAUCGACGCCUCCGCUCCACAGCAACCGCUCCUACGCACUGGCAUCUGCUCCUCGGAAUCAUCGGCUUCAGCUCCCUCGGGUGCAAAACGAAGCGGCAGCACAAGGGCGGCACGGCGGCAUUGACGCGGCGGCGACAGUUGCACAUGAGCAGGUCACCUCCGCUCCCCUGGUCGUCGCUCCCUCAGCGCAGGGCACACCGUGCAGAUUUGAAGAAACAAGGUGUUCAGUGGGGAAGAAUACUUCUAUCAAGAUUAUCAUAGUACUGUAUUAGGUAUUUUAGUUAGUAUUCAGAAAAUCUUAUGAGAUGUCGAGUUGAACUGCUGCAUGAAGGAACCUGAGAUCAGGUUACUGCCCUUAUCCAGUUUUUGUUUUAUCCGGAGCUAUCUCUACGAUUUUGACUGACUCACGUCUUCAUGGGAUCAAGCACUUGUAGCUGUUAGUUAGCUUUUCUGUUGCAGUGACAUCUAAAAGUAAGUAUAUGAGAUUGUAUUAAUACAACUUGCGUUGAGCAAUUCUAAUCUCCUUUGCUGCGGAGCA